AGUGGCGCACGGGUGCGUAACACGUAUGUAACCUACCUUCGUCAGGGGGAUAGCCUCUCGAAAGAGAGAUUAAGACCGCAUAACAUUACAAUGUGGCAUCACAAAGUAAUCAAAUAUUUAUAGGACGAAGAUGGGCAUGCGGAACAUUAGCUAGUUGGUAAGGUAACGGCUUACCAAGGCUACGAUGUUUAGGGGAUCUGAGAGGAUGACCCCCCACACUGGUACUGAGACACGGACCAGACUCCUACGGGAGGCAGCAGUAAGGAAUAUUGGUCAAUGGGCGGAAGCCUGAACCAGCCAUGCCGCGUGCAGGAAGACGGCCCUACGGGUUGUAAACUGCUUUUAUACUGGAAUAAACCUUUUCACGUGUGAGAAGCUGAAUGUACAGUAAGAAUAAGGAUCGGCUAACUCCGUGCCAGCAGCCGCGGUAAUACGGAGGAUCCAAGCGUUAUCCGGAUUUAUUGGGUUUAAAGGGUGCGUAGGUGGUUCAUUAAGUCAGGGGUGAAAGACGGCAGCUUAACUGUCGCAGUGCCUUUGAUACUGAUGAACUUGAAUGAACUAGAGGUAGGCGGAAUGUGACAAGUAGCGGUGAAAUGCAUAGAUAUGUCACAGAACACCAAUUGCGAAGGCAGCUUACUAUGGUUUGAUUGACACUGAGGCACGAAAGCGUGGGGAUCAAACAGGAUUAGAUACCCUGGUAGUCCACGCCCUAAACGAUGAAUACUCGAUGUUGGCGAUAUACGGUCAGCGUCUAAGCGAAAGCGUUAAGUAUUCCACCUGGGGAGUACGCCCGCAAGGGUGAAACUCAAAGGAAUUGACGGGGGCCCGCACAAGCGGAGGAGCAUGUGGUUUAAUUCGAUGAUACGCGAGGAACCUUACCCGGGCUUGAAAGU
rnacentral:rRNA from 1 species